GAUGAAGAACGCAGCGAAAUGCGAUACGUAAUGUGAAUUGCAAAUUCAGUGAAUCAUCGAGUCUUUGAACGCACAUUGCGCCCCCUGGUAUUCCGGGGGGCAUGCCUGUCCGAGCGUCAUUGCUGCCCUCAAGCACGGCUUGUGUGUUGGGCCCCGUCCUCCGAUCCCGGGGGACGGGCCCGAAAGGCAGCGGCGGCACCGCGUCCGGUCCUCGAGCGUAUGGGGCUUUGUCACCCGCUCUGUAGGCCCGGCCGGCGCUUGCCGAUCAACCCAAAUUUUUAUCCAGGUUGACCUCGGAUCAGGUAGGGAUACCCGCUGAACUUGAGCAUAUCAAUAAGCGGAGGA
rnacentral:misc_RNA from 1 species